rnacentral:misc_RNA from 1 species
UCAAACUUGGUCAUUUAGAGGAAGUAAAAGUCGUAACAAGGUUUCCGUAGGUGAGUAAUCAAGCCGUCACUAUUAAUUCAUUGAACCGAUAAAACUAACAUUCCUUAUAGGUGAACCUGCGGAAGGAUCAUUAACGAGUUAGGGUCUUCCAGGCCUGACCUCCCAACCCUAUGUUUACUGAACCUCUGUUGCUUCGGCGGACCCGUCUCACGACCGCCGGGGGACCGCUGCGAGGCGUCCUCUGGCCAGCGUCCGCCGGUAGCCAACCACUUGAAAAAAUUCUGAAUGAAUCGUGUCAUGAUGUCUAAGUCCAUGAUUAAAUUUAAAAGCAAAACUUUCAACAACGGAUCUCUUGGUUCUGGCAUCGAUGAAGAACGCAGC